rnacentral:rRNA from 1 species
UCGGGCUGCCAUACCGGUGGGGAAACACCCGGCUCCAUUCCGAACCCGGAAGUUAAGCCCACCAGGGCCGAUGGUACUGCACCCGUAAGGGUGUGGGAGAGUAGGUCGCAGCCCGGG